rnacentral:piRNA from 1 species
UCACCAUGUAGCCCAUGGCUGGCCUCGAAC